rnacentral:rRNA from 1 species
GAUGAACGCUGGCGGCGUGCCUAAUACAUGCAAGUCGAGCGAACAGACGAGGAGCUUGCUCCUCUGACGUUAGCGGCGGACGGGUGAGUAACACGUGGAUAACCUACCUAUAAGACUGGGAUAACUUCGGGAAACCGGAGCUAAUACCGGAUAAUAUAUUGAACCGCAUGGUUCAAUAGUGAAAGACGGUUUUGCUGUCACUUAUAGAUGGAUCCGCGCCGCAUUAGCUAGUUGGUAAGGUAACGGCUUACCAAGGCAACGAUGCGUAGCCGACCUGAGAGGGUGAUCGGCCACACUGGAACUGAGACACGGUCCCGACUCCUACGGGAGGCAGCAGUAGGGAAUCUUCCGCAAUGGGCGAAAGCCUGACGGAGCAACGCCGCGUGAGUGAUGAAGGUCUUCGGAUCGUAAAACUCUGUUAUUAGGGAAGAACAAAUGUGUAAGUAACUAUGCACGUCUUGACGGUACCUAAUCAGAAAGCCACGGCUAACUACGUG